rnacentral:rRNA from 1 species
GACGACGCUGGCGGCGUGGAUUAGGCAUGCAAGUCGAACGGUAUCAUCCGUUUCGGGGGUGAGAGAGUGGCGAACUGGUGAGUAACACGUAGGUUAUCUACCCUCAAGACGGGGACAACCCAGGGAAACUUGGGCUAAUACCGGAUGUGAGCAACUUUUAGUUGUUUGAAAGGUGGCGUAAGCUGUCGCUUGGGGAUGAGCCUGCGUCCUAUUAGUUAGUUGGUGAGGUAACGGCUCACCUAGGCAAUGAUAGGUAGGCGGCCUUAACGGGUGGUCGCCCACACUGGGAUUGAGAUACGGCCCAGACUCCUACGGGAGGCAGCAGCUAAGAAUAUUCCGCAAUGGACGAAAGUCUGACGGAGCGACGCCGCGUGGAUGAAGAAGGCCGAAAGGUUGUAAAGUUCUUUUGCUAGGGGAGAAUAAGUGAGGGAGGGAAUGCCCUCAUGAUGACAAGGACUAGCGAAUAAGCCCCGGCCAACUACGUG